CAUCUGAUCGUUGAUGAGUUUAAGAAAGUUUAACAACUCUCAUCCUUGCAAAGGUGAGCUCGGUUGGAGUUACUGGAGCUCGGGCAUCUGUGAGUGACAAGGUUGAGUCCAUUCUAAAGCAAAUUAAGGAGUUCCAACAAGUUGAUUAUGACAAAGCGGUUAUUGAUCUGG